rnacentral:tRNA from 1 species
CCACCGCUCACUUGGUAAAGCACAAGGCUCUUAACCUUGUGGACGUGGGUUCAAGCCCCAUGAUGGG